CUUUUUGGAAAUGCACAAGGAGAGGCAGCAGCUGGAGCUGAGCAGGGGAAGGGCAGAGCUGUAAUCAAGAUGCUCAUUUUUCGGCAAGCCCCAGAUGCAGAUCAAGAAAUGCAAAGUUUGUGCUGACGAGGAGACAAGGGCCUCAGUUCUCAUCCAGCAAAGGGAGUUUUCCAGCAGAUUCAAAGCCAUCUGAUAAGAGAAAAUCUGGACAAAAGCUUGAGUUUUACUUUUAAUCCUCCAAGAAAAGAACCAACAAAGACUUGAAAGACCAACAAAGAGUUGAAAGACCAGAAAAAGGACCAACUCAAUCCCCAGACCCCACCAUGAGAUCUUUGUGGAACAUUCUGACCCUCAGAUUUGGCUCUUGUUUUCCUGGACAUCAAUGGAGACAUACUCCACCAGAUUGAGCAGAUGAGGCCAGGGAGGCACACGAGGAUGGAUUUGGCAGCCCCUUUCCAUGCCAGACCGGAUGUUUUAGUCUUUUUCAAGUCUAUAAACAAUGGAAGCUGCUCAGAGUCAUAUUCCUGGCACCAGCAGCAGCUUGGAUGCAUUUCAAUUCAUGUCUUUUGUGCUCUGGAGUGAAUUCAUACCUUCGUGAAUUGUUUAACAAAAACAGGAGAGAACCUCACCUUGGCAGGCAGCUCCUGGGGCUUGACUGAGCUUGUGGUGACACACUGGUGACAGCUGAUGUCCCAUGGAACUGGGACACAACAGACACAGGAGUGUUCAUGGCAGGGCCUCAGGGCACCUGCACCUCCUCCUGGGCUCCUGGAGGUUUGGAACAAUACCAAGAGGGAAGGUAAGCAUGGG
rnacentral:lncRNA from 1 species